UACGAAGGGGGCUAGCGUUGCUCGGAAUCACUGGGCGUAAAGCGCACGUAGGCGGACUCUUAAGUCGGUGGUGAAAUCCUGGAGCUCAACUCCAGAACUGCCUUCGAUACUGAGAGUCUCGAGUCCGGGAGAGGUGAGUGGAACUGCGAGUGUAGAGGUGAAAUUCGUAGAUAUUCGCAAGAACACCAGUGGCGAAGGCGGCUCUCUGGAACGGUACUGACGCUGAGACGCGAAAGCGUGGGGAGCGAACAGG
rnacentral:rRNA from 1 species